CAACAAGCUCUUGUGACUAAUUGCCUCCCACCAUCCUUACAACCACAAUAUCUGAAUGCAUACGAUUGUGUGGGUUACGCCUCAGCCAGCACAGCUAUAAUUCUGCUGACAAGCUCGUUUCCUCCACUAUGAGGCGACCACUUUCAUGCAGAUACAGAACCUAGGAGAGGUGCUCCUACAGAAUGUCCUGGCUGCUUGCUAUCUAUUUUCUCCUCCUUUUUCCUGGAGCUCCUGUCUCAAAAGCCAGAGAGGAGCUACCUGUUAUCAUUGCUGAGGAAGGGGAGACGACCAAUGUCACCUGCAAGUUUCAGCAUCCAAUCAAUAGGGCCUUGCAGUUGAAUCGAAUCCUUAGGAGGGCCAUGCAAGUGUUACAUGUUUCAGUGUGGGAAAAGAGAAAGACUGAGGCCCCUGAAUAUGCAAAUCGCACCGAAUACUUUGAGAUGGACAACAUGGUGACGAUAAUGCUGCGACAAGUCAAGCAGGAUGAUAGUGAUGUGUAUAUGUGUGAGGGACGUUUUCUAGAAGAGGGGGAGCCCAAGGAUAUAAACAGCAGCAGUAUCAUGUUGGCAGUAAAAGCAGCCUCAGAUAACAAGCUAAGAAACAGUUCAUCAUCUCUCUGGAUGCUGGGCGCCCUGAUCAUCCAGUCGCUUCUCCUGGUUGCUGUGCUGGCAUAUUGUAUCCUGUCCCCUAAAAAUAUCUGUGAAUGUUCUCCAAUGUUGCAGCAAAACUAG
rnacentral:lncRNA from 1 species